CACAGUAAGUCUUGUUGAUAAUAUAUAUAUUUUUUUUUUAGUUUAAUAAGUGGCAUACAUAAAUACAGAGCCCUCCAGAAUGCCAGUCCUAACUGACAUCUUCCAAAGUGACACUGCAUUGAUAAGAACUCUAAUGAUCCCUUUCAUUCAAGGUCCAACUCUAAAUCCCUAGCUGCGAGAUCCCGCAUCUGUCCCAUCAAGUUCUCUUCACAAGUGGAGUUUCAGCCUCCCUCUUUAAUUGGCUUUCUGGUGACAGCCCUGCUUUUUCUGAACAUUGCUUGGGAGUGGAGAAGAGAGUAAAGAAACAGCCUGAAAUCAAAGUGAACCAAGAAAAUUAAAUGUGAUUAUACCUGCCAGUUGCAUCCUUCAGGAAGGUAAAACUGUUUCUAUUUUGAAGAACAUUUUAAAAAUACUUGGUCCACUCUUGGCUUAAGUCAUUAUGAGUAAUUUACAUCCGGU
rnacentral:lncRNA from 1 species